UUAAUUGAAGAGUUUGAUCAUGGCUCAGAUUGAACGCUGGCGGCAGGCCUAACACAUGCAAGUCGAACGGUAACAGGGAGCAGCUUGCUGCUCUGCUGACGAGUGGCGGACGGGUGAGUAAUGUCUGGGAAACUGCCUGAUGGAGGGGGAUAACUACUGGAAACGGUAGCUAAUACCGCAUAACGUCUACGGACCAAAGUGGGGGACCUUCGGGCCUCAUGCCAUCAGAUGUGCCCAGAUGGGAUUAGCUAGUAGGUGGGGUAACGGCUCACCUAGGCGACGAUCCCUAGCUGGUCUGAGAGGAUGACCAGCCACACUGGAACUGAGACACGGUCCAGACUCCUACGGGAGGCAGCAGUGGGGAAUAUUGCACAAUGG
rnacentral:rRNA from 1 species